CCCCACGAUCUGGCAUAUUGGGUACAAUCGCAGAUAAAUGCGGUAUAAGCACCACGCCUACACAAUAUCUAUCAUUUACCCAUGGAUCCAAUGGAUAAACGCUAUACGAUCCUAAGGAUGUAUAUAGAUCGAAUCUAACUAAGCCAAGUACAUAACUAUGAUAAACUAAGAACAAUAUAAUCUUGAAUAUAAGCAACUAGAGCAAAGUCAUAAGCAAUAUAUUGAAGUAGAACAAAGUCAUAUUCAUAAUAUUGAAGAACAAAGAUAAUUAGAAAGCAAUUAGAAGCACAAUUAGAGAAUUACCAAGAAUCCUCCUGACAGAUCCGGAAACCAAUCGAAGAUUGACUCCUUCUAGUUCUAAUCCUAUGUAGCUAUGCUAAUCUAGAUAUCUAAUUGAUGUGGUGGCUCUAAUCUUGGUCAGAGGCUUCUUCUCCCUUG
rnacentral:lncRNA from 1 species